CCCUUAGAUGUCCUGGGCCGCACGCGCGCUACACUGAUGCAUGCAACGAGUUUAUAACCUUGGCCUGAAAGGUCUGGGUAAUCUUUUGAACGUGCAUCGUGAUAGGGAUAGAUUAUUGCAAUUGUUAAUCUUGAACGAGGAAUUCCUAGUAAACGCGAGUCAUCAGCUCGCAUUGAUUACGUCCCUGCCCUUUGUACACACCGCCCGUCGCUCCUACCGAUUGGGUGUGCUGGUGAAAUGUUCGGAUCGGCCGUUUGUCGCGGUUUCCGCGUCAUGUGGCUGAGAAGUUCAUUAAACCCUCCCACCUAGAGGAAGGAGAAGUCGUAACA
rnacentral:rRNA from 1 species